rnacentral:rRNA from 1 species
UACGUAGGCAGCGAGCGUUGUUCGGAGUUACUGGGCGUAAAGGGUGUGUAGGCGGUUCUCUAAGUUUGGUGUGAAAUCUCCCGGCUCAACCGGGAGGGUGCGCCGAAAACUGGAGGGCUAGAGCGCGGGAAGGGAGAGUAGAAUUCCUGGUGUAGCGGUGAAAUGCGUAGAUAUCAGGAGGAAUACCGGUGGUGCAGACGGCUCUCUGGACCGCGACUGACGCUGAGACACGAAAGCGUGGGUAGCAAACAGG